rnacentral:lncRNA from 1 species
CUUUGGGACAUGACUGUGCUCUGAUAAAAGAGGCUCUUAGACCUGCCUUAACCUUUCUCCCACGGGAGAACACGGUUUUUAGAUCAAAAAGAAUUGUACUCAAGGAAUUGAAGCUAUGGAGCCUCUGCCACAUCUGGACCUGAUUUUGAUGACAAGAUCCUGUACCUCAAGCCCGAGACUAAUUUCAUAAUUUGAUGAAUCUUUUUGGAGAGUCAUGGGAGGAAUGUAAACAAUUUGUGGCCAAAGGAGAAUUAUGGUAGUUUGAAGAUGUGGAUACAAAUUAUUUGACAUUCUUCUCAUAGAAAGGUAACUCCAUAGCUGGGAGCCAAGUCUCGAAGCCCCAUGAGGGGAAGUGGAUACAUCUCAGAAUUGGGUUUCCUGAUACACACGACUGCAUCCUUCAUCUGCCAGGCCCUGGCAUUGUUUACUGGAGAAGAUGUCAUAGGAAAUUGGGCUAUGUCAUUGAGCCACUGGAGUCACACAUGAACAGCCAUUUGGAGAUUCUGGAAUUGAUGGUUCAGUUUAGGUAAACUGUAUGAUGUAGUGAAACAAUGUUGCCUGGAAUUCCUGAAGAGAAGACCAAUCACUAAAAUUUGAGACUACUGCACAAUUCUGAUAUCUGAAUCAUUUCCAUAGAUAGAUUUUGGUUAAAGCACCUGUGUAUAUUCUGUCAUUAUUAAUUUGUGUCUGCUUUUUUACGGUUUCUAAAAUCAUGUUUUUAAAUUUUACAAACUCAGGUAAAUAAAAUAAAAC